UCCCAGACUCCUACGGGAGGCAGCAGUGGGGAAUCUUCCGCAAUGGGCGAAAGCCUGACGGAGCAACGCCGCGUGAUCGAAUGAAGGCCUUCGGGUUGUAAAGAUCUGUUGAUAGGGACGAAUAAGCAAUGCGAAUAGUUUUGUGUAUGACGGUACCUGUUUAGAAAGCUCCGGCUAAAUACGUGCCAGCAGCCGCGGUAAUACGUAUGGAGCAAGCGUUAUCCGGAUUUACUGGGUGUAAAGGGAGCGCAGGCGGCCUUGCAAGUCUGAUGUGAAAGGCCGGGGCCCAACCCCGGGACUGCAUUGGAAACUGCGAGGCUGGAGUGUCGGAGAGGCAGGCGGAAUUCCUAGUGUAGCGGUGAAAUGCGUAGAUAUUAGGAGGAACACCAGUGGCGAAGGCGGCCUGCUGGACGAUGACUGACGCUGAGGCUCGAAAGCGUGGGGAGCAAACAGGAUUAGAUACCCCCGUAA
rnacentral:rRNA from 1 species